rnacentral:rRNA from 1 species
GAUGAACGCUGGCGGCGUGCUUAACACAUGCCAGUCGAACGAUGAAGCCCAGCUUGCUGGGUGGAUUAGUGGCGAACGGGUGAGUAACACGUGAGUAACCUGCCCUUAACUCUGGGAUAAGCCUGGGAAACUGGGUCUAAUACCGGAUAGGAGCGUCCACCGCAUGGUGGGUGUUGGAAAGAUUUAUCGGUUUUGGAUGGACUCGCGGCCUAUCAGCUUGUUGGUGAGGUAAUGGCUCACCAAGGCGACGACGGGUAGCCGGCCUGAGAGGGUGACCGGCCACACUGGGACUGAGACACGGCCCAGACUCCUACGGGAGGCAGCAGUGGGGAAUAUUGCACAAUGGGCGCAAGCCUGAUGCAGCGACGCCGCGUGAGGGAUGACGGCCUUCGGGUUGUAAACCUCUUUCAGUAGGGAAGAAGCGAAAGUGGCGGUACCUGCAGAAGAAGCACCGGCUAACUACGUG